AUGUACUCUGUGUGGUACGCAAUUCUUUCUUUUUUCUUUGGGAGCCCUGUGUAGGAUCUCAAUUGUUUCCUUUACUGUGCUUCAUUUGAUGUCUAACUGUGGUACUGGAUUGUGUAAAAAUUUCAUAAACGAAGGGGAUUAUAAGAAAACCAAAGGACCCGUGUACAGAUGAAGUAUUCAGAUACAUGGUGAUGGGAGUAGGGAAAGGGAGAGAGAGAGAUGGAGGGGGGGGGGAGUUGGGAGGACCCGUGCAGUCUGAAGCAUAAUAUCCUGCUGUUCCUGAUUCUGAAGUCUGCAUCUUCUGUUGUAGUUCUUUGGAAUCUGAUAUGGUUCCUUCUCGGUGAUUAGCGGCUUGUAUAACUACUUGUGACAAUUUCGGUGGGUCAUCAA